rnacentral:rRNA from 1 species
AGUGAACGCUGGCGGUAGGCCUAACACAUGCAAGUCGAACGGCAGCACAGUAAGAGCUUGCUCUUACGGGUGGCGAGUGGCGGACGGGUGAGGCAUACAUCGGAAUCUACUUUUUCGUGGGGGAUAACGUAGGGAAACUUACGCUAAUACCGCAUACGACCUACGGGUGAAAGCAGGGGAUCUUCGGACCUUGCGCGAUUGAAUUAGCCGAUGUCGGAUUAGCUAGUUGGCGGGGUAAAGGCCCACCAAGGCGACGAUCCGUAGCUGGUCUGAGAGGAUGAUCAGCCACACUGGAACUGAGACACGGUCCAGACUCCUACGGGAGGCAGCAGUGGGGAAUAUUGGACAAUGGGCGCAAGCCUGAUCCAGCCAUACCGCGUGGGUGAAGAAGGCCUUCGGGUUGUAAAGCCCUUUUGUUGGGAAAGAAAAGCAGCAGGUUAAUACCCCGCUGUUCUGACGUUACCCAAAGAAUAAGCACCGGCUAACUUCGUG